GCUUAUCUCGUAAGAUUUACGUUUAAAUUAUGCUCCCAAAAUAAAUCGAACUUAUUAUUCUGAAGCUGUCUUGCAGUUGUGAUGGCCCGAGUCUUAUCGCUGCCAGCCAAAAUUUUCGUUUCAUUUCCCCGUUCGCUUCUAUCAAAAUGCGGUCGGCUUUGUUUUGGGUUGGUUUAGUGCUACAGAUUGCUACCGUAUUUCUAGGGCAUACCGUAGGAGAACCAACAGAUAAUUCAGAAUGCCGCUGGGUUUACAAGUGUUGUGAGUACGAUUCGGAGCAGGUGGAUAUUUGUCGAAACUUGUGCAACGAUCCAGAGAUUAUCUGUGAUUCUAGUAUAACAGAAACAUCAACUCCACCUGGUGGCCCAAGACACAUCUUGUUUGCAAGAUCCUGCAAAGAAGGGUACCGGUUGGAUCAUCGAGGCCAGUGCAGACUCGUGUUCUGAUAAGGAUGAAACGAUUGUUAGUCAUAACAACUGUCGUUGUCUGUAUAUUGCAGACUUAUAACGUUUAUUGUGAAGUUCUUGAUGGUAACGGCGAUCGGUGUGAGUGGAUUUAUAGUUGUUGCCAUUACAACGAUAACAACGAGUGUUUGGAGCUGUGCGAAAAACCUUCGAUAAUGCCCAGAAGGACACUUGAAGGAUGACAAAAAUAAAUGUAGAAAAAUAGUCUUUUA